GGAGGCGCUCCGUGAGACGGUCGCUGCUCUCGUUCUUCUCGCGCCUCUUCUCACGCCGGCGCAAGAGGCAGCCUGCGGCCUCUCAGGUCAACGUAGACCCCCCGGAGGGUCCCAGCUCUGCCGCCCGCGGAGGCCAGCCGGCCCAAAACCCCGUGACGACGGAGCAGCAAAGCCCGGAGGCCUCGAGCAGCAGUUCAGCCUUCGAGUCCGAGGAGAGCAGCACUGAGGACAGCGGCAGCGCUCUGGCCGCCCCCGAGGGGCCCCCCAAAAAGAGGGGCUUCCUGAAGUGGCUGCGGACCCGCUUCUCGGGAUGCCGGGGCAAGAAGUCCGCCUCCACUCCGGGCAGCAACAGCAGCCUGUAGGGUUUCGGGGAGGCGGAGAGCGCGGGAAACGCCAGAAGAUGGUGUGGUGAGGUUGUCAUGGGUCUGGCCUUCCUUUGUUGCGAAAAAAAAAAGGGAAAAGGGUUUUGAGAAUCUUCUGAUGUUUGGUUAUGUGCUGACUGCACGUAUUGGCAUGAGACACAUAGACCCAAUAGAAAUAGCCUUCCUUUUUUAAAUGUUCUGCGAAUGCUGUCAAUGCAAUUGGUGAGUAUUAUCGGUGCGCAUGUGCGUGUGUGGGGUUUUAGGAGAUAAAAAAAAAUUAUCCAAAAAUUAUCCUAAACUCAUCCCAUAACCUCAGCCAUUGAUGGGGGUGAAAGGUAAAUGGGCUAAAACUGGUCCCAGGUCAGAUGACUCUAAUGAAUAUGGGCUCAUGAGUUUUUCCAGCAGGGCUACCAGGGCACUGGGGUCCACAGUCGAGAAGGGUAGCGGAGGUCAGCUACGAUAGGCGUGGAGGCACACCACCGAGCAUGGGCAGAAAGCGGUUGUGGAGAUUCGAUUUCGCGCCCUCUUUGGUGUUUGCCGUGGCAAUAAGAAGUCGGGUCACCACUCCUGGACU